rnacentral:lncRNA from 1 species
AAAAAGCCAAUCCUAAAAUAAUAUCAUCCCUUGUUUGAAACCCCCUCGAGCCUAUUAUCCUUUAUUUUUGUUUAAAACUCAUUACAAACCGAGAAGUGAAAAACAAUGUUAUCACCUUAUUCAAAGGGUUGGAAGAGUCUUGUUUGAAGUUGUGUGAGGUUGAAUAAUUAUAUUUGUAAUAUUUCAGAAGUUGGUAGAAAAAGAAAAUAGAAAAGAAAAAAAAUGAAUGAAAAAAAUAGAA